rnacentral:rRNA from 1 species
ACGUAGGUGGCAAGCGUUGUCCGGAAUUAUUGGGCGUAAAGCGCGCGCAGGCGGAUCAGUCAGUCUGUCUUAAAAGUUCGGGGCUUAACCCCGUGAUGGGAUGGAAACUGCUGAUCUAGAGUAUCGGAGAGGAAAGUGGAAUUCCUAGUGUAGCGGUGAAAUGCGUAGAUAUUAGGAAGAACACCAGUGGCGAAGGCGACUUUCUGGACGAACACUGACGCUGAGGCGCGAAAGCCAGGGGAGCGAACGG